rnacentral:rRNA from 1 species
GACGAACGCUGGCGGCGUGCCUAAUACAUGCAAGUAGAACGCUGAAGGAGGAGCUUGCUUCUCUGGAUGAGUUGCGAACGGGUGAGUAACGCGUAGGUAACCUGCCUGGUAGCGGGGGAUAACUAUUGGAAACGACAGCUAAUACCGCAUAAUAGUAGAUGUUGCAUGACAUUUGCUUAAAAGGUGCAAUUGCAUCACUACCAGAUGGACCUGCGUUGUAUUAGCUAGUUGGUGGGGUAACGGCUCACCAAGGCGACGAUACAUAGCCGACCUGAGAGGGUGAUCGGCCACACUGGGACUGAGACACGGCCCAGACUCCUACGGGAGGCAGCAGUAGGGAAUCUUCGGCAAUGGACGGAAGUCUGACCGAGCAACGCCGCGUGAGUGAAGAAGGUUUUCGGAUCGUAAAGCUCUGUUGUAAGAGAAGAACGAGUGUGAGAGUGGAAAGUUCACACUGUGACGGUAUCUUACCAGAAAGGGACGGCUAACUACGUG